GCAUCAGUGGUCUAACGGUUAUGAUGCGACCUUCCCACAGGAUAUCCAAAGGAAGUUAGGUCGCGAACGGGGUUCGACUCCCCGCUGAUGCA